rnacentral:misc_RNA from 2 species
AACGCACAUUGCGCCCCUUGGUAUUCCGAGGGGCAUGCCUAUUCGAGCGUCAUUAUCACCCCUCAAGCCUAGCUUGGUGUUGAGGCCUGCUGUAAGGGCAGCCUCUAAAAUCAGUGGCAGUGCUGUCAGGCUCUAAGCGUAGUAAUUUUUCUCGCUAUGGACACCUGGUGGACACUCGCCAGAACCCCCCCAUUUUUUAAUGAUUGACCUCGGAUUAGGUAGGGAUACCCGCUGAACUUAA